UACAGAGGGUGCAAGCGGUAAUCGGAAUUACUGGGCGUAAAGCGUGCGUAGACGGUUAUGUAAGUCGGGUGUGAAAGCCCCGGGCUCAACCUGGGAAUGCCAUUCGAGACUGCAUAGCUAGGGUGCGGAAGAGGGAAGCGGAAUUUCCGGUGUAGCAGUGAAAUGCGUAGAGAUCGGGAGGAACAUCAGUUGCGAAGGCGGCUCUCUGGACCAGCACUGACGCUGAGGCACGAAAGCGUGGGGAGCAAACAGG
rnacentral:rRNA from 1 species